rnacentral:lncRNA from 1 species
UUUUACAUGCAGAGAAAGGUAUUAGACGAACACAAUAUUCUCUUUGACAGUAAAAAAUAAUUCGAAAAGGAAUAAGUAACCAAAAAUUAAAGGACAUUCACAAAUUAUCGCCAAAUUAAUUACCAUUGAAACCAUAUUUGAAAAAAGAUAUCUAUUUAUAAUAAAUCACAGAUGCUGUUAAAACCUGACUGACUGUGUGACCGGGCUGUGUGAAUAAAUGAAUCAGAUAUUUAUAAGUUAUUAUGAAAUUUUGAAGUCUACGCUAAAGGUCUUAUUCAAUAAAAUACGUUUGAGAAUAUAUCUUUGUUGUUCAGUAAGCACUUCCCCCUAAUCCGCCUUAGGUUUUUCAAAUCUAAGAAUGACCUGUAUGCCAGAGACAUAAGUAUUUUUAAUUAAUCUGCACAACCAAAUCAACUGACUUUGAACAUGGAAAUUUCGUGCAAACCAGUCGAUUUUUCAGUUAAACCCCUGUGAUUGAUCCUUUCGGGGUCCGGGAAUCUUUUUUUUUUUAUUUCGGGAUGUCGGGGUUUUGAAUUUCUUUAAAUUCGGGACCUCAUCAGUAUUUCAUGUUUUUAAGCCUGGGAUUUCAGGAUGAUGACCCCUCCAACCCCCACCCCCUCAUCACUAAAAAUUCAUAAAUAUGCAGCUAAUUUCUGGAGUUUAUUUGGGAUCUAUUUGUAAGGUUAACUUACGAAUGAAUACAUCAUGAACCAUAAUUUUAGCACUUUACAUAUUAAUUUAAAGUGAAACCUCAACCCCCCUCCCCUUUAUUAGUUUUUAAGAUAAACGAAGUCGAAGGUGUCAAGACAGGUGCAAUUUUAUAAAUACAAUUGAGAAUGGAAAUGGGGAAUGUGUCAACGAGACAACAACCCGACCAUAGAAAAAAACAACAGCAGAAGGUCACCAACAGGUCUUCAAUGUAGGGCGAGAAAUUCCCGCACCUUCAGCUGGCCCCUAAACAAAUAUAUAAUAGUUCAGUGAUAAUGAACGCCAUACUAAACUCCAAAUGUACACGAAGAAACUAAAAUUAAAAUAAUACAAGACUAACAAAGGCCAGAGGUUCCUGACUUGGGAUAGGCGCAAAAAUGUGGCGGGGUUAAACAUGUUUAUGAGAUAUCAACCCUAGCUCCCCCUAUACCUCUAGCCAAUGUAGAAAAGUAAACGCAUAUAACAAUACCAAGCGGAAAUUGUAUAUUUACAACGCACAUUAAAAUUCAGUUCAAUUUUAAGAGAAGUCCGAGUCUGAUGUCAGAAGAGAGGGGGGAUAGGAGGGGUCCUGAUCCCGAA